rnacentral:lncRNA from 1 species
UCUGAGGUUAUAUUUUAGAGACUACUUGAUAUGUGCUCGAGAAUAUUCUGAGCAAAUCGAUCACCAAAACUCCAUAUGGGAUAUGGACUUGGAUAAUUCGAUACUCUCUUAUUUUGAUAUUUGGGGUAUCGAGCUAAUGUGAAAUGUUCACAAACUGACUAGCUUAGAUCUUGGUUUGAUAAAUAUUAUAAUAAAGAUAUUUCA